UACGGAGGAUGCAAGCGUUAUCCGGAAUGAUUGGGCGUAAAGCGUCCGCAGGUGGCAAUGUAAGUCUGCUGUCAAAGCGUCUGGCUCAACCAGAUAAAGGCAGUGGAAACUACAUAGCUAGAGUAAGGUAGGGGUAGAGGGAGUUCCUGGUGUAGCGGUGAAAUGCGUAGAGAUCAGGAAGAACACCGGUGGCGAAAGCGCUCUGCUGGACCUUAACUGACACUGAGGGACGAAAGCUAGGGGAGCGAAUGGG
rnacentral:rRNA from 1 species